UUGAAUUUAAUACACGCAAUUUUUAUACUGAAAGUUCAGUAAUAACAGAAACAAAGGGGAAGAGGACCAGAGCACAAAGAAGGCAACCAAAAGUCAAGGUUCUUAUGGGAAGGAAAAACUAAAACAUUGAUGUUUCAGAGCCAGGGGCCUCAAACUGUUCACACUGCAAGGAGUUUUGUGAACAGCAGCAAAGCAAGUUCAGGGCAGGCUACACCUCCAUUAUGCUCCAUCACCUGGAAUACAGCCACAGCCCCGAAAGAAAAUCAACAAAGGCUGCGUGGCUUUUACUGCUGAUGGAACCAAACUUUCCAAAUACACAUCAAGGGCUCAAUAUGAUUCCGCUGAACUUCUCCCAGCGACCCACAGUUCAAACAAAGACCUCGAGUCAAGAGUGCCACAGCACAGGGAACGCUGCCAGGCCCAGCGGAGCACUCACCACUUCACUCCCAAACAGGCUUGUACCUACCGGCAACCCAGCCAUGGCCAGCUCAUGAUCUUGGACCCCUGCCUACUUCCCUCAAAGCAGGCAAAGGCCAUCGAGUUCGUAUUGGGCUUGAAAUUAAUGAUUGCGAUAACAUAACGAAUGGCGUGGGCAGCGGAGAUGAUUGCUGCUUUGGAGAGGGAGCACCAAGACGACUGCAAACUCUGCCCCUUGACUCUGCCUCGGUGAGGAGGGGAGAGGAAGACGCCAAGCGGAUGGAGCAGCAGAACACACACAGCGUUCAGAAAGUGUCAACAAAUGUCAGUGGGUGCCAUAUUUUCUGCAUGGAGGAAUUCAGUGACACACCUUCACGAGCACUUUCACGUUGGAUGCCAUUGUGUCAGACUGCCCCUCUGAUGCCAUCUGCCACACAGCAACAAAACAUAAUGGGAUACUGGUGAGAAGGUUCAGCCUCUUCUGCCAUAUGACCAACAUCUGCCUUUGGCACUGUGGAUGUGCUCAGGCUAUUCUCGUUGUGAGAAGAAACAGGGAACAGCAUCAGAUGAACUUGUUGUCAGGUUAUUAUUUGUCAACAAGAUCAAGCAAAGCCCUGCUCUCCUGGAGAAAUCGAAUUUCCCCACCAGCCAGGCUGAAUACUUCCAGCCAGUAUCCUGCCACUUCCCAGCAGACCUGUUCUUAGGUUCACAAAAGUUCCUUCGGUCUCCAUCAAACUCUCAUAUACUCAUGAGGCAUACUUACACAUCCCAUUCCCCAAAUAAUAUUCAGAUUUAAAAAAACAAAAAUCUAUCCAAAGCAUGAAAUUACAUUCAGUGGUGUGUAGCGAUAGGACAAGGAGUAAUGGCCUAAAAACUUGAACAUAGGGAGUUCCAUACAAACAUGCAGAAGAACUUCUCUACAGUAAGAAUGAUGGAAGACUGGAACAGGCUGCCCAGAGAGGUUGUGGAGUCUCCUUUUAUGGAGAUAUUCAGGACCCAUCUGGAUGCCUACCUGUGUGACCUACUGUAGGGUACCUCCUUUGGCAGGGGGUUACACUUGAUAUCUCUUAAGGUUCCUUUCAACCCCUGUGAUUCUAUGAUUCCCAAGUAUUUGUCUUUAGUGACUUUUAGAAAAAAGGCCUCUUCUCUGCUCUGUACAUCCCUGCUAAUGAGCACAAGCAUCAAGAAGUAGAGCAGUGGCCAUGCUACUUGCCCAACUGAUUGCUAUUGCUAAUGAACCACCCUGAUUAAAAGCUGUUCUCGUCAGUCCACAGUGGUGUUCUGAAGGGAGAUCCUGUAGUAAAUGAGAUCAUCAGUGAAAUGAUCAUUAGUGUGUGUAGAUUGUUAAAACCUUCCUGAAAACUGCUAUAAUGAAGCUAGAGUUGAAAGUACUUUUAAUUAAUUUUGGGUCAAAGAAUCCUUGGGAUGUGAAAGUGAUCUGUCACUAUCCCCCCAAAAUUAUACAUCGAAGAAAAGAGCAAGAGGAAUGUCAGGACUGAUUAGAUAACAACUGGAUGGAGGUAAUUAGUUGCUCAACUUCCAAGGAAAAGGUGGCAGAGAGCUCUGUGAAUGUGAGCGUGCAGAAGGCACACAAACAGCCCACGGCCUGCCUCUGCUCAGGGUCCCACAGACCUGAUGGUUCAGGGCAAUGUGAGUGCCAUUUUGGGUGCCAGGUGACUCCCAGGGACUUGGAUUGCCCCCCAGCCCCUUCCAUUGACAAAAGAGAGCUAGGCAAAAGAGGCAGCUAACGAGUUCCAUAGGAGUGUAAGGGAGAGACAUACAAAGAGCAGAGACUAAUACUGACCUUACAUUCCUCCAGUUUAGCCAACACAGUCCCACCUUUGCCAUGUGGGUGGCAUGUGAUGAGUUGGUGUGGGCUCCAGAAAAGCUCCUUGAGCACCACAUAUGUCUGAGAUCUGAGGGAAGUGUAAUUAAAAGCACAGAUUUUGACACAUCUGAAGGAAACAGGUAAUUGUAUGUGCUGAGAUCACCCCUGGGUUACGACAGAGGAGCCUACUAGCCUGCAUGAAUGAUCAGCAGAGCAUUGUACUGAAGAAUGAGAAAACAGUGUGUGAGUCCCCUUGCCUCAAAGGAGGCACCUCUAUCCUGCAGUCCUUUACUCAGGUAACCAAUCAGUCCUUCCAGUUCUGCAGAACAGCAGGAAUGGCAAGGAACUGGCCUUGCACUAAUUAUCCGGAUAUGUUAACACAUUCCCUGCCAUGACUUGGUAUUGAAGGAAGCCUUUAAGACCUUCAGAACUGCAUCUAUGUACCAGAUGCUUGGUUAAUGAGGCCUUCAAGAAACCCAGCUAACAGUCAUUAAACAGAAAACACAAGAUUAACAUUUAAGAGCAUCAAUUACUGAUUUACUACUUUAACAAGCUGUUAAUAAAUCAGAAAUUC
ensembl:lncRNA